rnacentral:rRNA from 1 species
GAUGAACGCUAGCGGCAGGCCCAAUACAUGCAAGUCGAACGAGAUUAAGAGGCUUGCUUCUUAUGAAAGUGGCGCACGGGUGCGUAACGCGUAUGCAACCUACCUUAAUCAGGGGGAUAGCCCGAAGAAAUUCGGAUUAAGACCGCAUAAAAACACAGGAUAGCAUUAUCCAAUGUUCAAAUAUUUAUAGGAUUAAGAUGGGCAUGCGUGUCAUUAGCUAGUUGGCGGGGUAACGGCCCACCAAGGCGACGAUGACUAGGGGAUCUGAGAGGAUGACCCCCCACACUGGUACUGAGACACGGACCAGACUCCUACGGGAGGCAGCAGUAAGGAAUAUUGGUCAAUGGAGGGAACUCUGAACCAGCCAUGCCGCGUGCAGGAAGACAGCCCUCUGGGUCGUAAACUGCUUUUAUUCGGGAAUAAACCUUUCUACGUGUAGGAAGCUGAAUGUACCGAAGGAAUAAGGAUCGGCUAACUCCGUG